rnacentral:rRNA from 1 species
AGAGUUUGAUCAUGGCUCAGAACGAACGCUGGCGGCGUGGAUAAGACAUGCAAGUCGAACGAGACUUUUCGUUGUAGCAAUACGAUGGAAAGUUUAGUGGCGAACGGGUGCUUAACACGUGGGCAACCUGCCAUGAAGUGGGGGAUAGCUCGCCGAAAGGCGAAUUAAUACCGCAUGUGAUUAGAGAGGACAUCCUUUCGAAAUUAAAGUCGGGGCAACCUGACGCUUCUUGUGGGGCCCGCGGCCUAUCAGCUAGUUGGUGAGGUAACGGCUCACCAAGGCUUUGACGGGUAGCUGGUCUGAGAGGACGACCAGCCACACUGGGACUGAGACACGGCCCAGACACCUACGGGUGGUAGCAGUCGAGAAUUUUUGACAAUGGGGGAAACCCUGAUCGAGCGACGCCGCGUGGAGGAUGAAGGUCUUCGGAUUGUAAACUCCUGUCAUUGGGGAACAAGGUGCACAUGUUAACUGUAUGUGCAUUGAUAGUACCCGAAGAGGAAGAGACGGCUAACUCUGUGCCAGCAGCCGCGGUAAUUC